rnacentral:rRNA from 1 species
GACGGAGGAUGCAAGUGUUAUCCGGAAUCACUGGGCGUAAAGCGUCUGUAGGUGGUUACAUAAGUCAACUGUUAAAUCUUGAGGCUCAACCUCAAAAUCGCAGUCGAAACUAUUAGGCUAGAGUAUAGUAGGGGUAAAGGGAAUUUCCAGUGGAGCGGUGAAAUGCGUAGAGAUUGGAAAGAACACCGAUGGCGAAGGCACUUUACUGGGCUAUUACUAACACUCAGAGACGAAAGCUAGGGUAGCAAAUGGG